rnacentral:pre_miRNA from 1 species
CUUCUACUCCCUCUGUUCUGAAUUACUUGUCGCAGGUGUGGAUAUAUCUGGAUGCAUUUUUAGUUCUAGAUACAUCCAUUUUUGUGACGAGUAAUUUGGAACGGAGGGAGUACAAA